GAUGAACGCUGGCGGCGUGCCUAAUACAUGCAAGUCGAGCGAACGGACGAGAAGCUUGCUUCUCUGAUGUUAGCGGCGGACGGGUGAGUAACACGUGGAUAACCUACCUAUAAGACUGGGAUAACUUCGGGAAACCGGAGCUAAUACCGGAUAAUAUUUUGAACCGCAUGGUUCAAAAGUGAAGGACGGUCUUGCUGUCACUUAUAGAUGGAUCCGCGCUGUAUUAGCUAGUUGGUAAGGUAACGGCUUACCAAGGCAACGAUGCAUAGCCGACCUGAGAGGGUGAUCGGCCACACUGGAACUGAGACACGGUCCAGACUCCUACGGGAGGCAGCAGUAGGGAAUCUUCCGCAAUGGGCGAAAGCCUGACGGAGCAACGCCGCGUGAGUGAUGAAGGUCUUCGGAUCGUAAAACUCUGUUAUUAGGGAAGAACAUAUGUGUAAGUAACUGUGCACAUCUUGACGGUACCUAAUCAGAAAGCCACGGCUAACUACGUG
rnacentral:rRNA from 1 species